AGAUUGAACGCUGGCGGCAUGCCUUACACAUGCAAGUCGAAUGGCAGCAUGACGUGUAGCAAUACACGUUGAUGGCGAGUGGCGAACGGGUGAGUAAUAUAUCGGAACAUGUCCUGUAGCGGGGGAUAACCUAUCGGAAAGAUGGACUAAUACCGCAUUACGCUCUAUGGAGGAAAGCGGGGGUCGCAAGGACCUCGCACUAUAGGAGUGGCCGAUAUCGGAUUAGGCUAGUUGGUGGGGUAAAGCCCACCAAGGCGACGAUCCGUAGCUGGUCUGAGAGGAUGAUCAGCCACACUGGAACUGAGACACGGUCCAGACUCCUACGGGAGCAGCAGUGGGAAUUUGGACUAAGUGGGCGCGAAGCCUGAUCCAGCCAAUGACCGCGUGAGUGAAAGAGGCCUUGGGUUGUAAAGGCUUACGUUU
rnacentral:rRNA from 1 species